rnacentral:rRNA from 1 species
UCCUUGGUGAUUCAUAAUAACUUUUCGAAUCGCACGGCCUUGCGCCGGCGAUGGUUCAUUCAAAUUUCUUCCCUAUCAACUUUCGAUGUUUGGGUCUUGGCCAAACAUGGUCGCAACGGGUAACGGAGGGUUAGGGCUCGACCCCGGAGAAGGAGCCUGAGAAACGGCUACUACAUCCAAGGAAGGCAGCAGGCGCGCAAAUUACCCAAUCCCGAUUCGGGGAGGUAGUGACAAUAAAUACUGAUACAGGGCUCUUUUGGGUCUUGUAAUUGGAAUGAGUACAAUUUAAAUCUCUUAACGAGGAACAAUUGGAGGGCAAGUCUGGUGCCAGCAGCCGCGGUAAUUCCAGCUCCAAUAGCGUAUAUUAAAGUUGUUGUGGUUAAAAAGCUCGUAGUUGAACCUUGGGCCUGGCUGGCCGGUCCGCCUCACCGCGUGCACUGGUCCGGCCGGGCCUUUCCCUCUGUGGAACCCCAUGCUCUUCACUGAGUGUGGCGGUGAAACAGGACUUUUACUUUGAAAAAAUUAGAGUGCUCCAGGCAGGCCUAUGCUCGAAUACAUUAGCAUGGAAUAAUAAAAUAGGACGCGUGGUUCUAUUUUGUUGGUUUCUAGGACCGCCGUAAUGAUUAAUAGGGACAGUCGGGGGCAUCAGUAUUCAAUUGUCAGAGGUGAAAUUCUUGGAUUUAUUGAAGACUAACUACUGCGAAAGCAUUUGCCAAGGAUGUUUUCAUUAAUCAGGAACGAAAGUUAGGGGAUCGAAGACGAUCAGAUACCGUCGUAGUCUUAACCAUAAACUAUGCCGACUAGGGAUCGGACGAUGUUAUUUUUUGACGCGUUCGGCACCUUACGAGAAAUCAAAGUGCUUGGGCUCCAGGGGGAGUAUGGUCGCAAGGCUGAAACUUAAAGAAAUUGACGGAAGGGCACCACCCUCACCAUCACCGACUGCCCUUGCACCAUCAGCAAGCCUCACACCGUCACUCCCGGUGUCCCCGCCACCAGCGUGCCCGUCAAGCCCACGGGCACCGGCGCCGUCCCCACCGGUCCCAGCACCAACCCUACCAGCCCUCCCCAGGUUGGCGGUGCCGCUGCUGCCGUUCCCUUUGGCGCUGCUGCCCUCGCUGCCCUUGCCAUGCUGUAAAUAGCAUAACUCCCUUUUGCUUCAAAAAUGAGGACAUGUUAUGGUAGCGGUGGAUUUUAAUACCUUUUUUUUUAUGCAUCAUGUGCCAAGUUGCUGCUAGCACUAGCAUAGAAUGGUCCUUGGAACUUGUUUUCUGUCAGAGGCACUAAUACAAGGACUGUUG